GCCUGGCUGGCUCAGUCGGUAGAGCAUGUGACUCUUGGUCUCUUGGAUGUGAGUUCAAGCCCCACACUGGGUA
rnacentral:tRNA from 1 species